rnacentral:tRNA from 1 species
GGGGAGGUAGCUCAGACGGUAGAGCGCCAGCCAGACCCCGGCGCGAGUGCGCGCUGUAUCGCCGGGGCGAAGGGGCUGGAGGUCGCGGGUUCGACUCCCGCCCACCCCACCA